GGGGCCCAUACCCCGAAAAUGUUGGUUAAACCCUCCUUUAUCA
rnacentral:tRNA from 1 species